rnacentral:misc_RNA from 1 species
GACCAUAGGGCCGAGCUUUUUGUGCAGCGAGCGAAUGAUGGGCUCGAUUUCGGCGAAGGAUUUACGGAGCCAUAAAAUGUUGCCGAUGAUGGGGAACUUAAAGGGGCCUGGAGGGAGGCUGUAGGGGGAAUUCUUGGAAGAAAAUAAAAGGUGGAAAAUAGGCUUCAGAAGGGCAGAGAUGGAGAUGGUGACGAGGAUCAGAAACCAGGUUUCCAUUUUUGAUGGUGGACCGAUGGGGCUAGCUUCAAUGAAGCUUCGAUUAUAUUCAGGAAGAAGGAUUUGGAUUUGAU